rnacentral:tRNA from 1 species
GGGGCCGUAGCUCAGUUGGAUAGAGCAAGAGUUUCCUAAACUCUAGGUCGGCGGUUCGAAUCCGCCCGGCCCCUCCA